UACGUAGGUGGCAAGCGUUGUCCGGAUUUAUUGGGUUUAAAGGGUGCGUAGGCGGUUGAUUAAGUCAGUUGUGAAAUACGGCAGCUUAACUGUCGAGGUGCAAUUGAUACUGGUUGACUUGAGUACAGACGAGGUAGGCGGAAUUGACGGAGUAGCGGUGAAAUGCAUAGAUAUCGUCAAGAACACCGAUAGCGAAGGCAGCUUACUAGACUGUAACUGACGCUGAGGCACGAAAGUGUGGGGAUCAAACAGG
rnacentral:rRNA from 1 species